GAAAUGACGUAGAGGACAGUUUAUUUGGCUGGCUUGUUUGCCGGUUGCACGCACACAUGAAGUGGUAGAAAUUUAAGGGAUAUACUGAUUUUUUUUUAAAGACUACACACAAGGUUCUCCUAAAAAAAUUGCAUGUUUGCUUUUGGAUUUGUUUUAUCUCGUAAAUUCCUUUUGUAAGACCCUAAUUGUGGACUACCUUCUCAAAUGCUUCUCAUGCUCUGUAAAACCAGCCAAUUGAAAAAACAAGCACAAUCUAGUGAAGAUGUCGUACAUGCUGCCUCAUCUCCACAAUGGCUGGCAGGUGGACCAGGCCAUUCUAUCAGAAGAAGAUAGAGUUCUGGUGAUUAGAUUUGGCCAUGACUGGGAUCCCACCUGUAUGAAAAUGGAUGAAGUAUUGUACAGUAUUGCUGAAAAAGU